AAAGAUAAUAACGACGCUGUUUCACGAGCACCGCGACACAAUUGGUACGCAGGCUACCGAUAGACUGACGGGCCAUGAACGAGCGCAACGAGCGCAACGAACAACCAGAACCACCACCACCACCUUCAGCACCACCACCACCACCAACACCACCACCGCAGGGAUGAGGCGGCCUUACGAUGAGCUUUCUGGGUCGGAGGAGGUAGACGCGAGCGCAGGACUUUGUAUGGUAGAGGGUGAAAGGGCUAGACUAGGGGGUGUCACGCGGUAAAAUACGUCGAGAGGGGUCAACGGGGUGAGAGAGCGAUGAUAUGCAUCGCUAUACUCCAAACAUCAUGUUGACAGAUGCCUGACGUAUUUUCGAGCAAAAUAAGGUCCUAAUCAUUCUGUGGCUAUAUUUUGAAAGAACACGCGACAGGUGCACUUGAUAUGAAGGUUCAAGCUCUUCCGCAUGUUUCCAGAUAUGAUCGAUGAUUCUACGAAAAUUCAGCUGUUCGAUUUAUGACUUGGCGAAAUUUUGAUCCUUCCUCGUGGACAGGUGCAUUGACGUCGAUAGUUUCUGAAAAAAAUACCCCCACACGAGCAUACAAACGCAUACAAAUACACACACAAUUUAUUUGAUCGAUGAACACUGUUUAAUUUAAACGUUCUUUAAACGUUUAACAUUGUAUUGUAUAGAUUUUGAUUCAAAUGAUUUUUGUACGCGGAUAAUAUAUACAUCACAUAAGUAAGGUGUUUUGCUUUUUAUUCUGGCGCGUGUUUUAAAAAGAAAAACAAACAAGAAACAGAGUAGAAUCUUUGUAGCCACGAACAAACAACUGCUCGGUCGAUGCCAAAAGACUGUAGCGCUACCUUGUCGAAGAAGAUAUUUUUCAACGUUUGACCUUACCAUCAGUUACUACUUUCGAUCACAAAUUUUAUCCAUCAAUUUUAUGGUACGACCAUCCGACACACUUAACAUAAUUAUUUAAAAUCAAUCCACCAGACCGCGCGUUCAAUAUUUAAUACGGAUAAAAUUGAAAGACGUAAAAACCUAUCUAGGGAGAAAAACCUUGAGACUCGGAUUGGAAUACUUUCUUCUACGUUUCCGCAUUACAUUUUGUAUUUUUUUUCUUUUUAUGCACCAAUGCAAUCACGGAAUGUGCAUUAUGUAAAAACAUAAUAAGUAGUAUAUUCUAUAAAUAAGAAUUCUCGAUUAAUUAAAAAAUUAACAACGUCAAAUUUUAUG